rnacentral:rRNA from 1 species
CCUACGGGAGGCAGCAGUGGGGAAUAUUGGACAAUGGAGGGAACCCUGAUCCAGCGACGCCGCGUGAGUGAAGAAGUAUCUCGGUAUGUAAAGCUCUAUCAGCAGGGAAGAAAGAAAUGACGGUACCUGACUAAGAAGCCCCGGCUAACUACGUGCCAGCAGCCGCGGUAAUACGGGGGGGGCAAGCGUUAUCCGGAUUUACUGGGUGUCAAGGGAGCGUAGACGGCGAUGCAAGUCUGAAGUGAGAGGCGGGGGGCCAACCCAUGGACUGCUUUGGGAACUGUAUGGCUGGAGUGCAGGAGAGGUAAGUGGAAUUCCGAGUGUAGCGGUGAAAUGCGUAGAUAUUAGGAGGAACACCAGUGGCGAAGGCGGCUUACUGGACUGUAACUGACGUUGAGGCUCGAAAGCGUGGGGAGCAAACAGGAUUAGAUACCCGUGUAGUC